UACGUAGGGGGCAAGCGUUAUCCGGAUUUACUGGGUGUAAAGGGAGCGUAGACGGCCAGACAAGUCUGAAGUGAAAAUCCAGCGCUUAACGCUGGAAGUGCUUUGGAGGCUGCCGGGCUGGAGUGCAGGAGGGGCAGGCGGAAUUCCUAGUGUAGCGGUGAAAUGCGUAGAUAUUAGGAGGAACACCAGUGGCGAAGGCGGCCUGCUGGACUGCAACUGACGUUGAGGCUCGAAGGCGUGGGGAGCAAACAGG
rnacentral:rRNA from 1 species